UUCAGGAGAAGGAAGUUUGGGGAGAGAGCAGGGCAGGAAGAAUAGGAACUUUUUAGAUAACGGUCACUUGUAAUGGGUUUCCUUUCACCGACGCUGCCUCCCUGGUUACCUCACAGCGUACCUGUUUGUUACUUCACAGUGAGGAAGGAUGGUUGCCAGGUGAGUGACAUCACAUCAGAGCCCUUCCACUGGCUCUGUUUUCUUCUGGUGCCAUGCUCCUCUCUGCAGCUAUAGAGCUUCUGGAAAGCCUGGAGGAAUUGACACUCCUGUUCACCGUGUCAUGUUCAGGGCACAGGGUGUGGUAAAUAUAGGAUCUUUUCUUCCUUCUUAGGAGCGGGAAAAAAAGUGCCAGGAAUGGGAUGGAGGUGAGUGAGGAGGACAUGUCCUUACUGCCAAGAGAGGGGCUCAUGUGAAAGCUGGGUGUGGUAUGUAAGGGGUGACUGGCUGGUAGUUUCCACCUGCUCAGGGUGGAAUGACCCCAAGAGGCAGCAGGUUGGGUAGACAUGCUCUUUGGCUGGAGCUCUGGGAAGUUUGGUACAAGGCUCUAGAGGAGAGUGAAAGAACAAACCUGAGAUCACUCUUUAGCUGCUUUGUGUUGACAGUUCACUUUGGAUCUGUGUUUACUUUUAUUCCAUUGGCUUAGGAAGUGACCUCAGGUCAAGUGAGUGAGAAAAAACAAUUUAAAUUAAGUCGAAGUACCCAUGAAGGUGGCAUUUCAAUUCAAACAAAUUUUAAGUACCUACUGUGCCUCUAAAAGCAGUUUUAUUUUGCAUUUGACUUUUUUUUUUUUUUUUUUUUUAAUAAGGUAGUUCAGACAUUAAGCCUAGGGAACCAUCCCUUUAGGGCCAUGUUUUGACUGUGUCAUUUGCUGGCAGUCAGAAUUUUUAAGAACCAGAAGGGAUCUCAAAGAUCAUGUCAUCUGAUUCUGUCAUUUUCGUUUUCAUUUUAUGAAACUCAAAAAAGUGAGGUGCCAAAUUAUGUUAGCGCAGGCAUAGCAAAAACGCAACUGAAAUCACAUUCCCUCUGCACGAUGUUCGCACAAAGCAACAACAUAAAACUUGUCUUUUGCUAUUAACUACACUGCACUGGUUAUCUGUUGCUGCAUCACAAACCACCGUGCACUUAGUGACUUAAACCAGUUUAUUAUUUCUGUGGUUCUGUGGGCUAUCUGGGCAAUUCUUGCUUGGGGUCUCCCCUUGCUUGUGUGAUGCUCAGAGGUCUGAGCCUCUGAAGCCUCAAAGGGGCUGGAUGCCCAGGACACUUCACACACAUAGCCACCGGAUGAGGCCCGGCUGCUGGGCUUGGGAUCGCCUUGUCUCGAAGGUCCCUUCUGCUCUGUAAACUUGGGCAAGUUAGUCCCUGUCAAUUCUCAAUUUUUGAGAAUAUCUUAGGUUGCAAGGAGGAAAUUCAUUUAAGUUACUUCUCUGACUUCAAGACUACACAUACAUGUCACAUCGAUAAAACUGAUCAACUGGAUUUCAAGAGCAAAACAACUGGGCAUGGUUUCUCCACAGGAGCAAUGUUCAUGGAACCCCUGACCAAAGAUCUUCCACGGACGAGAUACUUGGAGCCGUGGGCUUCUCUUGUGCCAAAGCUGCAAGCUUGUGGAAUCCUCUUGCCGGCCCUUUGCCUCCUGCCCGCCUCCGCUGGCCUUGGGCCGCCAGUCCUGCUGGUGCCCUCUGCCCCCCCACCCAGGGUCUGGGCUCUUACUUUGCCUGUCCUGUGAAGCUGUCCAGCACAGCUGCUGCCUCAAGAAAGAAGAGGGGCUCGCUCUCUCUGCCCCCUGCUUCAAUCACUUCCUAUCUGACAUGAGCAGCAGAAGUGCUAUAACCAGCCACAGCAGGUACACCUCAGCUGACAGAUGGACAAGGCGGCAGUUAACCAAUGAAUAAGCCGAGAUACCUGUGGCCCGUGAGGGAAAAGAUCCUGAAAAUGAUAAAGAGAGGCACUGGAGAGAUGUCAGGUGAUCUGCUCUGGAACCUUCCAUUAAGUUUCUACAACUGUGAACUGAACUGCACCUGUUUACUGCUGCACACGCCCUGCUAUCUGCAUUUCUGUAUCUUCCAAACAUUCUAUUCUAGGAUCGUCUGACUCGGAGAAUCAAAGGCCAGCCACCAUCAAAUAAAGACUUAAAGAGGCCUCUCCAGCAAACACCUGCACCUGAAAUGUCCACGUAGGGCUCAUCUGUGUUUUCCUGAAGACUAGGCAAUCAGGCAGGAGCACACUAAGAAGGCAGGAAUCUCCCCUGGGGCAGCCCUGCCUAUCGGCUGCUGCCACCAGCAUUCAGUGGCCUGUGUCAACUCUGAAUUUGGAGUUUGAGAGCGCCCCUGUACAAGGACUCCGUCUGGGGAGACUGGGGACAAGAUCUGGCUUGAGGUGACCAUCGCAAGAGUUUUCCUCCUGCCGACAGCACAGGGCGGCAUAGAUCUGGCCCUGCACGCUGCCGUCCUCCCUCAGUGGGCCUGGUCCUUCAGCUACACAGUGCUGGGGAGACUGCAUUGGAUUUAGCCUCCCACAACCUUGUGAAGAGAAUAACUGUAAUUCACAUAGUACCUGAUAGACUACCAAGCACUCAGGGUGGUGCGGGCACACUAGACAUCAACCGGAGGUUUCUGCCAUCAGAUCUGAAAAUACGGAGAACCGUAUUUUGUGGAGCCAUCGCUGCCUCUGGGACCUGGCAAGGCAGCGUCCCAGGACUUCAAGAUCUAUAGUCUGAGCCAAAGAUAACUGAGAAAAAAGCUUAAAAAAAAAAAGUGGUGGGGGCGGGGGGAGGGUGAGGAAUGAAAAAAGUGGAGAGGCCUCAAACCUUGGAUUUCAUCCCUCGAAUUCCAAAUCUUACAUGGAGUAAACAUUUGUCUGGUACUGGGCUGGAAUAAGUCAUAAAGUACCCUUGCCGGUGACUUGUUCCAUUCUGUCCAAGUGCUAACACACGCAACUUGACCACCGGGCUCCGGGUGCGGCCCCAGGCCUCCUGGGCCAACAGAGUCAGACUCUUCUACCAGCUUCAACACAGCCUCAGGAAGAGCUUGAGGCCCCCGCCUACUCUUCUGCAUCUUCCACAGGGCGGCUCUGUAGAAGGUGACGCUCUUUCAGGCUCCCACGCUUGUCUUGGUGCCGGGGCCCCUCACUCCCUGCACUGGCAGACUACUUCUCCCGCCUUGCCUUGCCUUCCCUUCCCCUCCUUGAUUCUUGAGAGUUUUGGUCCUCUGCUGCUCCUCACACCUGCUUUCCAUCACCAGGAUGGAUCCACCUCCCGGGGCCCCGCCUUCCUCAUGCUCCUGAGUAGCAAGUCCGACAGCCAGGUCUUCCCCGCAGUGAAUUCUAAAAGCGUUUUUCAACUGAGGGCUGUUGUACAGCACCGGUCUGUGCUGGCAAUGAGUAACCGAGACAACCGGCUCUGAAAUAAAAACCGUCGGGCUUGCGGGGAUGCGAAAAACACUUAGACUAAUUCCUCCUCAAACCAUACUCUGAUCUGUCAUGAAGAAUCCUUACAUCUACUUUUAUUGCUCAUCUGCUCAGAGCUGCAAACCACUUAAGAUCUGGCUGAAUAAACCUAGUUUUCUCAAUCAUUCCUCCUACUCUCCCCCUCCCACCCCCAUCCACUCAUCUCUUCCCAGAUUAAUUCACGAACACACAUCCCACAAGCAGGGGUCAAUGGAUCAUGAUGAUGAUGACACUUAUUCCUGAGGGAAUAGCACACGCACAGGAGGAGUCAUAAUCCUCAGGGAUCCCAGGGCAGCACCCGAAGACACACAGACUGCUGCACCUUGACCAAGAGCAUCGCUUUAGAAGCCAAGAGUCAAGGGCUCUCCUCACACUUACGUGUUCUUCCGAAGCAUAGAGGACUUCCAUUAGUCGCUGCACGAGGUCGUCGUUUUCCUGCCCAUGCUCUUGACAGAGUAGCUCAAUCUCUCUCAACUUGCCAAAGUAGAAAUCCCUUUCCUUUUCCACACCUUCAAGGGCAAGUUUUAAUGAAUGUACCUGCAAGGGAGGGAGGGUGGAAAGAAAAUUCCCCCAAAAUCCGGUAUAAAAAAUGUGACCAACUACACCUGCCUACAACAUGUGAAACAUGCAAAGACAGAUGUGCCAAAAUGACUACUAGGCAACGGAGCUUGAGCCCGGGCCACAACGUCCAACUUCAACAACACACUAGUCCUUCCCUCUGCCAACUGAGUGUUCAUAACCACUGUCCGAGGGAUUGUUUCUGCUCAAGGUGGUUGCAUCCAGACCCUGAAUGAGCCUUCCUCCUCUCUUAACACAGACUAGGGCACAUCCUUCUACUCUGUCCAGCCUCUGCAACGGGGAAGCAGAGGAGAGGGCUAGCACUGUGGUUGCUUGAGAUGUAUUCUGAGGACCCUACUUUCUUCAGGUAACCAUAUUUUGUUGUGGAGCCCUUCGUAAAUGUUCCUGAGCCACACUAGGCAAAGUCUUUCUACUGAGAAACUGCGUCUUAGCUACAUGAGGGAAACUGGGCAAGACUGAAGGUGUGGUUCAGUGGAUCUGUUUCAAUUCCUCUGGUUUUAGCUUUGGGGACAUCGCAGGAAAUAGGGGGAAGACUACAAGAAGGAAGCCCCAUUCCCUCAGAAUAAUAGCCCUUGUUCCCUUUUACCCUGGGAUGCUGGUUCCAGGACCUCCCAGGGCUGGGUGGCCUCUCACAGUGAUUAUGGAGAUGGCACCAGGGAAGGAGCCAGCAGUGAGGCAGUAUCACCCGGGCUGAAGGAAAGCUGACAGUGCCCCACUCCUACGAGCACAGUAGCUACUCACAGGCCUAAACCAUGACCCUGUUCCUGCUUCCCGAGAAUCCCUUUUUUUAAGUCCCUUGUGCAUUUAUAUUUACACAGACAAUAUUUGUCAGGAGGUAAAUUGAAUCUUUCAUGGUCUCCAUCAGGUGAAAUCUCUCAUUCAGUGUAUUAAAAAUCACCCUAACGGAAUUUCCAAAAAUGACAUUUGGAAUGGGAAAUUGUCUUCUCUAGUAAUCCUGGGCCUUUGGACAUGCUAUUUAUCAAACGCUUACCAAACAUCUGCAGUGUUGGUCCCCUUCCUGCACACCCGGCAUAGGCCUCGGGGAUAUGGCCCCUCAGAGUUCACCUCACUGCCUCCCUCACCCGCUGCUCAAAAAGCAGCUUUCCCUAGCUUUCACUUUUAUUUUUGAUGAUGCUAUGGUUGGGAUAUUUCUAAGAAAGGAAGGCAACCAGCAGCCUCAAGUCCAGGAAAAAGAAAACUUCCCUUUUUCUAGAAAUCCUUCCUUGCUUUACAACAAACCACCCUCCUCCCCAGGCUUGGCCACAGAAUCCCUCUGAAGCCUGCAUUGGUGCCAGUGGACAGAUCUCUGGCAGUUGAGGAGUCUUGAGUCUGUCAGCGCUCCCUGAAGGAGGCAAGAAGGGUCUCUGGAGUACUUCAACCCAUGGAAACUAGGUUUGUCUGCCUCUCGAGGGUGCUUUGGUCUGUACAAUGUGCAAAGAGGUGAGGCUUUUGUAGAAAUAUCCAGUCCAGGUUGGCGUUGGGUGGUAUUCCAGAUCGCCAGGCAAUAGAUACACAGCUAUAGACAUCCCUGGUAAAAAGUGAUAGAGGCCCAAGUAUAUGAGGAUAGCCAACUGGCAAAGGAGAGUCCAUGUUCACGGUCGCACUCAUGCAGAGUGAUGCCACCCGCACCCUCAUGUAUCAAACCAGAAGCCUAAGUGGUGGAGGGGAUGCUGGGGAUGGACCCUUGAGUAAGUCAAGAGGAAGAGACAAGAGGGGGGACGUUCUCUUCUCCCAGUUCUCCCCUCCCUCAGUGUCUGCACACUGCACGUCCUCCUAGGGAGGCCGCCCAAGCCCCAGCAUCCGUCCAAGCCAACUGACGCCCACUCUCCAGCCCCCAGGGGUCCCUGAGCGCAGUGGUGACUCCACCCUACUUCCUGUUUGCUAACCCACUUGCCAUAAAUGGCCCCUAAUUAUUUCAGUUAUGUCUUUUUCUCCCCUUUUGAUUCAUUUCUAUCAUUGGAAUUGUCUAGCACAGUGGUACUUUUAUAGCAUGUCAUGGGAGACUGCCUGAAUAGAGGCAGGAGGCCAAGAAAAGGAGAAUUCUUCAAGUUUAUGGCACUCGUCACUUUCUCUAUUACGACAUGUAAUUCACUCUCCAGCCUAGGCAUGUCCUCGUCCUAGAGUCCUGAGUCCCAACACAGCAAUGCCUCUGCGGCUACCCAUCAGCUUUAGGGAGCCACCCUGCAGGUUACAAGGGCAGAAAAUGGAGGGGGCAAUAACAGAUAACCAUGCAAAUGGGUCUGGGUAAGUGUUCAGUAAACAGAUGAAUGAAUGCUCACAAUCUGGGGUGUGUAUAACCUUCGCUCUGAGGGACUGGGGAGGGGAAGAGAUGGGCACACUCACUCCUCCUUGAUGUAAAUGCGUCAGGGGAUAGGUGGGGGAGUGAAGCCCUUUGGAAGUAAUAAAGGAAUUACAGGACCAUUGGGAAGUUCCCUCCCUCUCUAGAGUGACAUUUUGGAUGGUAGGAUGAGGUCUGGGUUCCUUGGGGAUGGGAGGCUCUUUGUGUAAACGGACAGCUAAUGAGUGUAGAGCCAGCCCCAAGGAGAGGCAGUGGGUCUGGUGGACUAAGGCUGAAUGGCAGAGGGGCAGGAAGGGUCUUGAGGUUUCUGUGUGGUUAUACUUUGGGUUGGAAGUUUGGAGACCAGGGUGUGGUAGAGGGGAAACAACAGGGAGGAGAGAAAUCAUGACAAAACAUGAGAUAAUCAAGAUAUCAAAAGAACUUGGGUUUCUAUAAGAAAAGGGUUAUAAAUCUAAAGCAUUAUAGACCCACGCCUGAAUCUCUUUAGGUCUACUCUGAUUUGCUCUGAGCCUUAGGCAUGUGGCCCAAGGCUCAUUAUGGCUGUCGUACCUGCCUUUUAUGUGAGAAAAACUCAUUACUGGGAAUACCAUACGGGCUCAAACUGAGAAUGAGCAGGUAAUUAGAACAUUCCAGAGUUUCUAAAUCAAAGUCCUGCCCAUUGGAUAACUUAAGGUUUCACUAUUUUCAUUAAAGUGACCAGAACUGUAAAGAAAUACCCUAGCUAAGCAGCUGCCUGCUUUUAAACUAGAUUCUUGAUUGCAAAUAUACAAUUAUCUCAAAAAUGGUUUCCAGACUCUUGCUGGCUCAUCAGGAAUCCGAUUAAUCAUUGGGAAUGGCCCAGCCACUUGGCUGGGAACAGCCUAAGAACCUUGAAUAGAGGCUCCUCUCCGGGUAGUGGGAGUAGCCAGGAUAAAAGACUCUGCAGCUCAGGGCGGGUGGCUUCUUCAGUGGGCCUCAUGCUACCAAUCGUUUUAUUACCUUUAAGCUACAUAUAAUCUCAGGCAAAAUUAGCUAUCGUUAGGUAGAAAGCAUACCUAAACUUUUAUAUGGAAAUUUUCAAAGGCAGCAGAGCUAGAUCUACCAUAACCAUGAAGAAUGUUAGACGAAAAGGGAAGUUCUUCGACUUCAACCACAACCAUGGCCUUCUGAUCCCCCAGUAUUGGGGUCAGUGCUUCUGUGGCAUCAAACAUCUGCUGUCGUGGCAAGCAUUAGGUUCUCGCUUUUGUUUGCACGAUCACCUACCCCGUACAA